GGACUUGGCUCAGUUGGUAAAGCACCCGCUUUCAUACAGAAGGUCCUGAGUUUGAUCCCCAGCCUCUCCA